GGCUAUGACGGGUAGCUGGUCUGAGAGGACGACCAGCCACACUGGACUGAGACACGGUCCAGACACCUACGGGUGGCAGCAGUCGAGAAUUUUUCUCAAUGGGCGAAAGCCUGAAGGAGCGACGCCGCGUGGAGGAUGAAGGUCUUCGGAUUGUAAACUCCUGUCAUUAGGGAACAAAACUUACGGUUAACUGCCGUGGAGUCUGAUAGUACCUGAAGAGGAAGAGACGGCUAACUCUGUGCCAGCAGCCGCGGUAAUACAGAGGUCUCAAGCGUUGUUCGGAUUCAUUGGGCGUAAAGGGUGCGUAGGCGGCGGGGUAAGUCGGAUGUGAAAUCCCGGGGCUCAACCCCGGAACUGCAUUCGAUACUACUCUGCUAGAGUACUGGAGAGGAGACUGGAAUUUACGGUGUAGCAGUGAAAUGCGUAGAUAUCGUAAGGAAGACCAGUGGCGAAGGCGAGUCUCUGGACAGUUACUGACGCUGAGGCACGAAGGCCAGGGGAGCAAACGGGAUUAGAUACCCCGGUAGUCCUGGCAGUAAACGGUGCACGUUUGGUGUGGGAGGAUUCGACCCCUUCCGUGCCGGAGCUAACGCGUUAAACGUGCCGCCUGGGGAGUACGGUCGCAAGAUUAAAACUCAAAGAAAUUGACGGGGGCCCGCACAAGCGGUGGAGUAUGUGGCUUAAUUCGAUCCACGCGAAGAACCUUACCUAGCCUUGACAUGCAUCUCUAAGUCGGUGAAAGCCGGCGAGUGUAGCAAUACACAAUUUGCACAGGUGCUGCAUGGCUGUCGUCAGCUCGUGUCGUGAGAUGUUGGGUUAAGUCCCGCAACGAGCGCAACCCCUGUGAACUGUUGCCACUCCCUUUACUGGGAAGCACUCUGUUCAGACUGCCCUGUGAAACGGGGAGGAAGGUGGGGAUGACGUCAAGUCAGCAUGGCCCUUACGGCUAGGGCUGCACACGUACUACAAUGCUCAGUACAGAAUGAACCGAUGCCGCGAGGUGGAGGAAAUCUCAAAAACUGAGCCCAAUUCGGAUUGAAGGCUGCAACUCGCCUUCAUGAAGCCGGAAUCGCUAGUAAUGGCGCAUCAGCUACGGCGCCGUGAAUACGUUCCCGGGCCUUGUACACACCGCCCGUCACAUCAUGGAAGUUACUUGUACCCGAAGUGCAUGCGCCAACCGCAAGGAGGCAGUGCCCUAAGGUAUGAGUGGUAACUGGGAUGAAGUCGUAACAAGGUA
rnacentral:rRNA from 1 species